rnacentral:lncRNA from 1 species
AAGGAGGUGGUCUAAAGUUACAGCAGUGGGGGCUGGCUAAGUGGUAUUACCUGAUAUCACUUUGGUAGAGGUUCUUAAGGGAAGAGCUUGAGAAUUGAAGAGUGAAGGCAGUGUGGAUUUGCCAUCUCUGUCAGCUGACCUUAUGACACAGCUGCUGGGACUGAAAGCUGCAAGAGCUGAUCAUGAGUGUUCUGCUGCUGAGGGCAGAGAAGGAAUGCUGGGUGAAGAGCACUUAUCAUCCUUCAUGACAGAGCGGAUCAGGAGAGGAAGAAGGACCAUCAUGUUUGUACAAGUUUGGGGAGGGUAGAAGAGAGGGUCUGUCAUGCUGGACUGGAUCACUGACUGCUGGAAAAGACAGACUGACAACCACCGUCCUGACAAAGCUCUGAGCACUCCGCGAGUAAGUUGAGUUAUAACAGCACGAGGCCUCAAAACUCAGUCCAGCAGUCAAACACUGUCAGAUGAUGGAUGAAUCCUGGCUGAACGCUGGCUUCAUAAGGAGAGCAGCCAGACAUGGAGACCUUACCAGCAUCAGCAUCUUCUGUGUGGAAGGAGCUCAACCACUGCCUUGGGGACCAACCAGGCCUGGGGAGAGAAUCACGUUUCCAUUUUGCAGGUGGGAAAUGGAGGAUAAAUGGUAUGACCAAAGCUGCAUUCUGGGGCUAUGGUGGAAAAACACAUUGAACUGUAGCUUCUCAUAUUUCACAAGGUGUCCUAACCGCAGGACUUUCAUUGUGUUACAACAACUUAAAAGCAGCUUUUUCAGUAUUUAGCGAAAUACUACGUCUCAGCCUGUUGUAUGACAUGCCGGAACACACUGCUGUUACUUCCUUAACCUUAGAAAUCUUUUUGUAGUUUUCACGUAGGACACUGAUUUUUCAGAUUUUU